rnacentral:rRNA from 1 species
GUAGGGAAUCUUGCGCAAUGGGCGAAAGCCUGACGCAGCCAUGCCGCGUGAAUGAUGAAGGUCUUAGGAUUGUAAAAUUCUUUCACCGGGGACGAUAAUGACGGUACCCGGAGAAGAAGCCCCGGCUAACUUCGUGCCAGCAGCCGCGGUAAUACGAAGGGGGCUAGCGUUGCUCGGAAUUACUGGGCGUAAAGGGAGCGUAGGCGGAUAGUUUAGUCAGAGGUGAAAGCCCAGGGCUCAACCGUUGAAUUGCCUUUGAUACUGGAUAUCUUGAGUAUGGAAGAGGUAUGUGGAACUCCGAGGGUAGAGGUGAAAUUCGUAGAUAUUCGGAAGAACACCAGUGGCGAAGGCGACAUACUGGUCCAUUACUGACGCUGAGGCGCGAAAGCGUGGGGAGCAAACAGGAUUAGAAACCCCAGUAGUCC